rnacentral:lncRNA from 1 species
UUCAAAUUGAAUGUGCUGUGAAAUUGUUCUGUCUUUGAAAAAAAAAUAUCUGAGGCACCUCGCCUUGACUGGUAAAGCAAAGAAAACUGGAUAGGAGAAGGCCUGUGUUUAGGGCAUCAAUGGCUAACUGUCAGCAGGGACAACAGCCGUUAUCCCAUAUCCAGUAAGUACAACAGGUCUGGAGGGAAUGUUAGAGAUUCUUCCAUUCUGACCAACACGCUCAGAAGGAGCAGUGUGAAGCUGUUUUCAGGGAGCCCAUCCACCACUUCUGGAGACACUCGCUUUUCAGGUAAAGUGAGAUAGGCAGAAACAAGUUUACAGUCAUUUGGAAACAGAGCCACGUUGCUGGCCCACCUUGUGAAACUAGAGGAUUCUUCAGGCCCUUGCCAGCCACCAGACUUCCAGCUCAUCUCUCUCCACCCUCAUCUCCUGCACGGUGUUAUGGAUGGGGUAAUAGGCAGCUGCCAGCCUGUCUAAAUCCAGGGACAAGAGCCAUCUAUGACAACACGAUGGGCCCUGAGGCAAGGGAGGAAUGUCAUUUGUUAAACUACCUUUCUAGCUAUUUCUGCCUGAUUCAUUACACUCACUCUUUCACAAAGAAAUAUGCACAGAUUACAAUAAGCAAAACAGCCCAUUAAAAAAUAUGUAUGUGCUUGGCAA